GAUUCCCUUCUUCCAUAUCAUGAUAAAGAGAGUACACGUUCAAGCUUUGUUACAUAGAAAUAGCCGUCACUUUCCCCACGUGUCGGCACCGUCCACCGACCCGGCGGGUCGGCGGACCGGUCCUUGAUUGUGCAACCACUUUGUAUAUAACGCACAGGCACUGGCGAAUCAGAAUCAGAACCACAGUUGCAAUACAAGUCUCGGCCCGCUCAGUCGUCUCUCCUUCCGCGCCUCCGCGACAAUGGUGGCAGCGGUGGUCGAGGGGACUUGUGCCCCUCACCACGGACCCCAGCCUCUACAUCUGCACUGACAUCGCAGACUGGUUAGUCCGUGCUCCGUGACGGUGUAUCGCCCCUACGUCACGUCAUCGACUAGGGAGCUGACCAUCCUGGACUCGUCAUCGUCCAGCAGCACCGUCUCCAGUGAGUAGCUCUGCCCAGCAAGACUAUCUGCCCUGCGGCAAGGUCAUCAGCUACCCUGGACUACUACGGAGCCCGCCGACAGCGCACGGCUCAUCAGCCCGCGCCGUCCUCCUCAGCAUCAUCGAGUGAUGGACACCACCUCGCUGAAGGACUCAAGAUCGGAGGAGAGAAGAGAAGAAAAAAAAAAUAUCAACGCUAAAUUCAAGAGAAAUUGGCACCGAAAUCAAGAAAAUUCACCCAUUAUGAACUUUUGCUGUAUUUUCGUCAAAAAGUGACAGUGAAAUUGUGCUGUGAAAUUUGUUUUAACUUCGAUGUGUUUUAAAAACCGUACUGUUUCAUUAUCCGUUUUCGUCAGUGUUCUGUCGUUUGUUGUGCUUCAUUGUGGUUGCUCACCCCAAAAUUUACGGAGAAAUUGCAAAUGCGCUUAAUUUUUACCUGCAUUUUGCAGUGUCACUUUGACACUUAUAAGCAUAAAAAGAGCAUAUUCUGAAGUCGGUAUGAACAUUCAAAUACGUUAAUCGUGGUCAAUUCACUGAAAUUAUAUUG